rnacentral:rRNA from 1 species
AGGGAAUAUUGCGCAAUGGGCGAAAGCCUGACGCAGCGAUACCGCGUGAGUGAGGAAGGUCUUCGGAUUGUAAAGCUCUGUCGGGAUGGAAAAAUGGCGUGAGAUCUAAUAGGUUUUACGAUUGAUGGUACAUCCAAAGGAAGCACCGGCUAACUUCGUGCCAGCAGCCGCGGUAAUACGAAGGGUGCAAGCGUUGUUCGGAUUUAUCGGGCGUAAAGCGCGCGCAGGCGGAUAAUUAAGUCAGGUGUGAAAUCUCAGGGCUCAACCCUGAAACAGCGCCUGAAACUGAUUGUCUAGAAUACUGGAGGGGGAAGGGGAAUUUCACAUGUAGGGGUAAAAUCCGUUGAUAUGUGAAGGAAUACCAGAGGCGAAGGCGCCUUCCUGGACAGUUAUUGACGCUGAGGUGCGAAAGCGUGGGGAGCAAAC